rnacentral:tRNA from 1 species
UGGGGGGUCGUCUAACGGUAGGACGUCUGGUUUUGGCCCAGAUAAUCGGGGUUCAAAUCCCUGCCCCCCAG